rnacentral:rRNA from 1 species
GACGAACGCUGGCGGCGUGCUUAACACAUGCAAGUCGAACGGAAAGACCCUGCUUUUGUGGGGUGCUCGAGUGGCGCACGGGUGAGUGACACGUGAGUAACCUGCCCUUGACUUUGGGAUAACUUCAGGAAACUGGGGCUAAUACCGGGUAGGAGCUCCUGCUGCAUGGGGGUGGUUGGAAAAUUUCGGCGGUGGGGGAUGGACUCGCGGCUUAUCAGCUUGUUGGGGUGGUAGUGGCUUACCAAGCCUUUGACGGGUAGCCGGCAUAGGAGGGGUAACGGCCACCAGGGGCCUGCGAUACGGCGCAGACUCCAACGGGAGGCAGUAGGCGGGAAUAUUGCAGAACGGGCGGACGCCUGAUGCAGCAACGCCGCGUGCGGGAUGACGGCUUUCGGGUUGUAAACCGCUUUGGCCUGUGACGAAGCGGGAGUGACGGUAAUGGGUAAAGAAGCACCGGCUAACUACGUG